UACGAAGGGGGCUAGCGUUGUUCGGAAUCACUGGGCGUAAAGCGCACGUAGGCGGACGUUUUUUAAGUCAGGGGUGAAAUCCCAGGGCUCAACCCUGGAACUGCCCUUGAUACUGGACGUCUCGAGUCCGGGAGAGGUGAGUGGAACUCCGAGUGUAGAGGUGAAAUUCGUAGAUAUUCGGAAGAACACCAGUGGCGAAGGCGGCUCACUGGCCCGGUACUGACGCUGAGGUGCGAAAGCGUGGGGAGCAAACAGG
rnacentral:rRNA from 1 species